AAACAACCACAUUUUGAUUCUUACAAUCAUAAACCUAACUUGCAACAACCAUAUUUACUUCCCUCCAUUAUUAUAUAGCAACAUAACUAAUAUAACUCACAAUGAUUAAAAAUAUUUUUAUUGUGCAUUAUUUUAAUUGUAACAUGUAAAAAUUUUGUUUAUUCUAAAAAAUCAUAACAUAUAUGUGGGUAUAAAUACAUAAAUGAUAUAAAAAACUGAUGUACACGUACAACUCAUACACAUAAACCAACAUGUACAUAUUUGUAAGUAGUUGGCACAUACAUGAAUGAUGCACGUAACAAACUAGUAGUUUGUUGAGUUCACCUAAUUCCCAUGUGCAAUUCUAGUAGUUUGUUGAGCUCACCUAAUUCCCAUGUGCAAUUAUAGUAGUUUGUUGAGUUCACAUAAUUAUCAUGUGCAAUGUUCAAAUGGGUAAACUAGACUACCAACCAGCUAUUCAAAUGUUCAUAUAAAUACAUGAUGUAUCUCCACUAAAGCCCUCCACAUCUUUAAGAUUCAUAGAAGUAAUACAACCUUAUAGUUAAAAAACAAAAUGAUGAAGCACGUUAAAUCAUAUGCGAUGGUAGUUCUCCUGUUGAUGAUUUGUUACACAGGUGGGAAAAGGGAUCUCAAUGACAUCAAACCCUUUGAGGGUCCAUCACCAAAACAGUGUAGUCUACAAUGUUAUCCAAACAGAUCUGAAAAUAUGUUUUGUUGUUCAAAGGGAAUGCUGCAGCACAGAUGAAGAUUUUUUUUCUCUAAAAUGUCCAAGAUUAAAAAAUUAUAAUUCACAAUGAUUAAAAAUAUUUUUAUUUUUAAUUGUAACUUGUAAAAAUUUUGUUUAUUCUAAAAAGCAUAACAUAUAUGUGGGUAUAAAUACAAAAUGAUAUAAAAAACUGAUGUACACGUACAACUCAUACACAUAAACCAACAUGUACAUAUUUGUAAGUAGUUGGCACAUACAUAAAUGAUGCACGUAAGAAACUAGUAGUUUGUUGAGUUCACCUAAUUAUCAUGUGCAAUACUAGUACUAGAAUUGUAACCAUCAUAAUAUCGAAUGCAUGCGAUAACAUACCACCGCAACGCACGGGCAUUUGUUGAUUCUAUAUAUAUCCAGAAGCAAUAAUAAGAAUCAAUCAUAUUAAGAGCAUCAUAACACAAACAUAUUUUUGCUUCUGGAUAUAUAUAGAAUCAACAAAUGCCCGUGCGUUGCGGUGGUAUGUUAUCGCAUGCAUUCGAUAUUAUGAUGGUUACAAUUCUAGUACUAGUAUUGCACAUGAUAAUUAUGUGAACUCAACAAACUACUAUUAUUGCACAUGAUAAUUUGGUGAACUCAACAAACUACUAGUUUCUUACGUGCAUCAUUCAUGUAUGUGCCAACUACUUACAAAUAUGUACAUGUUGGUUUAUGUGUAUGAGUUGUACGUGUACAUUAGUUUUUUUAUAUCAUUUAUGUAUUUAUACCCACAUAUAUGUUAUGCUUUUUUAGAAUAAACAAUAUUUUUACAAGUUAUAAUUAAAUUAAUGCACAAUAAAAAUAUUUUUAAUCAUUGUGAAUUAUAAUUUUUUUAUCUUGGACAUUUUAGAGAACAAAAUUCUUCAUAUGUUGCAGCAUUCAUUAGUUUUUACCUUUGAACAACAAAACAUAUUUUCAUAUCUGUUUGGAUAACAUUGUAGACUACAUUGUUUUGGUGAUGGACUCUCAAAGGGUUUGAUGUCAUUGAUAUCCCUUUUCCCACCUUAAAAUCCAAAAGCCAGGAUGUUGAUUAGCAUGUUUAUUUAAAACAUGUGACAUGCAAAAAUAUUAUCAUAACCAUAGCUUACCCGUGUAACAAAUCAUCAACAAGAGAACUACCAUCACAUGUGAUUUAACAUGCUGCAUCAUUUUGUUGUUUAACUAUAAGGUUGUAUUACUUCUAUGAAUCUUAAAUAUGUGGAGGGUUUUAAUGGAGAAAAAUAUGUAUUUAUAUGCACAUUUGAAUAGCUGGUUGGUGGUUUAGUUUACCCAUUUGAACAUUGCCUAUGAUAAUUAGGUGAACUCAACAAACUACUAGAAUUGCACAUGGGAAUUAGGUGAACUCAACAAACUACUAGUUUCUUAUGUGCAUCAUUCAUGUAUGUGCCAACUACUUACAAAUAUGUACAUGUUGGCUUAUGUGUAUGAGUUGUACGUGUACAUCAGUUUUUUAUAUCAUUUAUGUAUUUAUACCCACAUGUAUGUUAUGCUUUUUUAGAAUAAACAAAAUUUUUACAAGUUACAAUUAAAAUAAUGCACAACAAAAAAUAUUUUUAAUCAUUGUGAAUUAUAUUAGUUAUGUUGCUAUAUAAUAAUGGAGGGAAAUAAAUAUGGUUGUUGCAAGUUAGGUUUAUGGUUGUAAGAAUCAAAAUGUGGUUGUUUUAUUUUAACAUCUCUAGUAACAACAUAGUUUAUUACAUUAUACAUUUUUGCUUUAACUUUUGUACAGAAUGUUCAAAUUCAUGAUUUACUUUCCUGCAUUUUACAACUUCAUUAUACAUACCUUGAUGAAAAGAACCCUCUUAAGGAUGUCAAGUUGGCUUAAAUUUAAUAUUUUUAAUCGAUAGUUUAGUUUUCUCUUAAACUUAGAAAUAUGUCUUUAUGUUUGUGUUAUGAUGCCAUUGAUAUGAUUGAUUCUGAUUGUUGCUUCUGGAUAUAUAUAGAAUCAACAAAUGCCCGUGUGUUGCGGUGGUAUGUUAUCGCAUGCAUUUGAUAUUAUGAUGGUUACAAUUCUAGUACCAUACAUGCACUCGAUAUAGAAAUCAACAUGUGUUUUUCAUCGAUCGAAGAUCAAAGACCACAAAAACGAACACAUCUACCGGCACCAAUUUUGUUCAAACGUUUUCGAUCAGUUUAGAUUGUCACGGUAGUAGAACAGAUAAUCAUCUAUCUUCACCGAAAAAUUUGUAGAUAUGAAUAAUUAUGGAAAGCGGUUACCAUAAAAUUGAAUACAAAUACCAGUACUGGUGUUGUUCGGUUUUG